AACGAACGCUGGCGGCAGGCCUCAAACAUGCAAGUCUAGGGGGUGCAGCAAUGCAUCACCGGCGGACGGGUGCGUAACGCGUGGGAAUCUGCUCUUGGGUUCGGAAUAACAGUUAGAAAUGACUGCUAAUACCGGAUGAUGUCUUCGGACCAAAGAUUUAUCGCCCAAGGAUGAGCCCGCGUAAGAUUAGCUAGUUGGUGAGGUAAUGGCUCACCAAGGCGACGAUCUUUAGCUGGUCUGAGAGGAUGAUCAGCCACACUGGGACUGAGACACGGCCCAGACUCCUACGGGAGGCAGCAGUGGGGAAUAUUGGACAAUGGGCGAAAGCCUGAUCCAGCAAUGCCGCGUGAGUGAUGAAGGCCUUAGGGUUGUAAA
rnacentral:rRNA from 1 species